rnacentral:rRNA from 1 species
GAAUUGCGAUAAGUAAUGUGAAUUGCAGAUUUUCAGUGAAUCAUCGAAUCUUUGAACGCACCUUGCGCUCCUUGGUAUUCCGAGGAGCAUGCCUGUUUGAGUGUCAUCGAAUUCUCAACCAAGUCUCGAUCGAUUUCGGGGCGUGGCUUGGACUUGGGGGUUGCUGGCCGUGAAAGCGGUCGGCUCUCCUGAAAUGCAUUAGCGAUGGGCAGCAAGUCUGACGUGCACGGCCUCGACGUGAUAAUGAUCGUCAUGGCUGGAGCGUCGGACGAGCACAUAACGUCUGUUUGCUUCCAAUCCUGGACUUGGACUUGGACCCCCCUCGAGCGAAGGCCUUAGCUACUAGUCGUGACUGACGAACGCGGGCGGGCUCGGAGGUCUGACGUCCCUCGUCUUUCUUUGACUUGACCUCAAAUCAGGUAGGACUACCCGCUGAACUUAA